UGGUCAAGCCAACUGUCCAUAAAUUCAAACCAAUAGGAGCAAAGAAAAGUUGUCCACUUGAACAGCAAGAAAGAUUUGAUCCAGACGUCCAUUCAGCCCGUCUGCUGUAUUGACACCUGGAAUGGACAAUGCUUUCACAGGCGACACGUUAGAGGGGUGCUUAUCCUACGCAGCGAGGAAUUAUUCACAUUUGUGAUUCUUCAUUACAAAGACUCUCAAAUGGCUGCCGCCCCCUGACAAUGGAUUGCUCCCUGGCCCUCCAGGUGCCCCCGCAGAUGACUGACGUGUAACGGCACACCGGAUCAUUUCUGCAAUCGCGUAGGGGUGUCACUUAUACCGAAGCGGAAAGAAUGUGCCCCUGGUGGUCUGCACCGUGUAUAAAAGGUGUAUCCCACAACCACGUGACCAUGCACUUUCUCCUUCUGUCACACGAACUUCCAAAAUGCCUUAAUGUUUGCUGCAGUAACGUGACAAAAUUGUCAUCGCAUUUAAAACCUUUGCAAAGGACAGUAGCUUAGUGAGACUCCAAAUGUUUCUCUCUUGAAAAAUCCAGAAAAAUACACAGUGGAUUGUAGGGGUACACAGUGCCCUGCAAACGACUCGAUCCGGCCACCUUACAUGUCAUCAUGUUCCACUGUAAACUCAAUGUGAUACGAGCUCCAAAGGCAUCUUUUGAUGCCAAUAUUAUCCUCAAUGUCAGUGCAGAUCUCCCGUCAGCCUGGCCCUAAUACACAGUGACAGGAGCCCCGCGGUGAGGACCCCACUCUGUCGUCUGAUCGGGCAACCAGAUGGACAGCUCAGCAGCAAGAGGGGACCUGAUAUCAGUGUCAGCAAUCAGAUCUCACCCGCUGAGAACUCGUGUGUGUGCGCGAGGCGGCGUGGGAGAGAGAAUACACAGUGCGAAGUGAUUGUUGGGAGCAUAUGUGCUGACGGCAGCCGGAGUGUGUGUUGAAAUGAAGAUUAAUGAAUAAGGUCCCGGUAACGUGUGUGUGUGCAGAUGAAGUCGGAGGGUCAACGGACGCUUCGAACUGCGCACAGACUUAAACUUGAGUGUGCACACGGUGUGUAGGUGGCGGUAUGUAAAAGUGUGUGCCUGGUUAAAUUGUAUCUUUUGACUUUUCAUCACCUCUUGUCCCACAGCUGCGAGGUGCAGACUGACCUGAGAGAAGCUCACAAAGCUCCCCUAUAACGUCACAA